rnacentral:rRNA from 1 species
UACGUAGGGUGCAGGCGUUAAUCGGAAUUACUGGGCGUAAAGCGUGCGCAGGCGGUCCUUUAAGUCUGAUGUGAAAGCCCACGGCUCAACCGUGGAGGGUCAUUGGAAACUGGGGGACUUGAGUACAGAAGAGAAGAGUGGAAUUCCACGUGUAGCGGUGAAAUGCGUAGAGAUGUGGAGGAACACCAGUGGCGAAGGCGACUCUUUGGUCUGUAACUGACGCUGAGGCGCGAAAGCGUGGGGAGCAAACAGG